GACGAACCGUGCGAACGUUAUUCGGAAUCACUGGGCUUAAAGCGCGUGUAGGCGGGCCGGCACGUCCGGUGCUGAAAGCCCCCGGCUCAACCGGGGAAGGGGCACGGAUACGGCCGGCCUGGAGGGGGGGGGUAGGGGACCUGGAACUUCCGGUGGAGCGGUGAAAUGCGUUGAGAUCGGAAGGAACGCCCGUGGCGAAAGCGAGGUCCUGGGCCCUUACUGACGCUGAGACGCGAAAGCCAGGGAGCGAACGGG
rnacentral:rRNA from 1 species